GCGGUGGUUGCUACAAGCUUUAAUUUGCUAUUUUUUCUACCUCCACUUUAAAUUUCAGAAUGAUAACUUAUCCAAUAUCAUCCAUACAAUUACAAGUUUAUGCACAUCUUACUGUUGUUAUUACAUAUGCCUUAUUCUUUACUUUAUGACUUGGUAAUGGCUCUUGUUAGCAUAAUUAUGAUGAGGAUUAUGUUGUCAAAUGAGGAGAGACUUAUCUGGUAUAUGCGGUGUAUACUCUCUUUGUGCGAUCUGUCUUGGCAUUGCAUUUCAUUGCAUCACAAUGCAUGGCAUAUGGAGUUAAUUCGCCGCUUGAUAGCCGCGACCGUACCGGUACAGCAUCGUUUAUUGGGCAUAACGGUGCAGCUUCAUACUUUGUUGAGUAUGAAGGCAAGAGACAUGGCAUUUGCAUUGCAUUUGCAUUUAGGGUGCUAUCGGUUUUCUAUGGUAUUUAUUUGGCAGUGGUGGUGAGAAGUGAAUUUUCUCCAAGGUUUGGUGACGAAUUGGUUUUAUUUAUGUAUGAGGGUGUUGGAGUUAUUAUUAUUAUUAUUAUUCAUUGAGGAGAUACACUUACUGAUAAUAGUUAAACCAUGGUCUAAUGAACUUGUAGUUUAAAUAGCUUGUUAAAGCUAGUUACUUGCUGAGAUUUUAUAUCUCACCCCUAUUUUUUUUGUUACCCUCUCAGGUACUUGAUGGAUGGAUGCUUUGCUUGGGGGUUGGGAAGUAGCAGCACGUCACACACUUCUCUUUAAUCAAAAUCCUCUAGUGUGAUACUGUAAUAUUUAAGUCCUUCUCUAUGAGAGUCUAUUUGUUGCUUAAUGAUGGUUAAGCUUUGUUAAACCUUGCCUUAAUCGUUUGAAUUUCAUGUUAGGAUCUUUUAUUUAUGCUAGUGUGCUUUAUCCAUUUUCAUAUCUUAUUGUUUCUUGCUUCCGCGGUGUUCCUGAUUUAGGGAAGAUGCUGUCAAAAUCUGUCCCUUUUGUCCGGUGUGGCUUAGUAGCAUCCUAAGGUGGCGUUUGUUUUUCUUGGGGUGUUACAGUUGGUAUCAGAGCUUAGGUUAAUUUAAUCCUAGGAAAAAAUAAAGUCUAAUUUGACACACUUGCACUUGUAGGUUGGGUACGGGUACAUUGGUGUGUAUGGAUUAUUUUGUCUUUAUGCAUACUUUAAAUUGUUGGAGCUUGAUAUUUGUGUUGGUUGUGUCUUGUGGUGGCUGCAGUUAUGCCGCCUAAGAAGCAAGGUCGGGCACGACCAGCGAGCGGUGCCCAAGCUGAUGGCACUAGUCAAGCAGAAUUACUUGCCGCAAUGCGUGAGAUGCAAAAUGAGAUGAGGACUUUGAGGCAGGCUGCUCGUGCGGGUGCAGCACAACCUAAUCCUACUACCUCUACUCAGGAAGUUGCUGCCCCAGUUGGCCCUGAGAGUGGUGUCUCGCUGAGAGAGUGGGUUGGCAUGAAGCUCGAUAGUUUUGAUGGCAGUGGUACUCCUAUUCAGGCUGCUGAUUGGUUGUCAUAUGUGGAGGAUAAGAUGGAAGCUUUUGAGGUGUCAGCUCAUGAUCGUGUUCGUUAUGGGGCACAAUUACUAAAGGGUGAGGCACAGAUUUGGUGGAAGGGUGUGCAGUCAGCUCGCACGGCUGCGCAUGGUUCUUUAACUUGGCCUGAGUUUGUUAGGCAGUUUGAGAGGAGGUUUUACCCAGUGACCUUCCUGGACAAGAUGAAAAUUGAGCUAAAUAACUAUGUGCAGGAAAGGAAGACAGUGGCUGAGUAUGAGGUGGGGUUCAACCAGAUUGUUCGCUUUGUUCCACAUGUGGCCCAUGAUGAUGCAGAGAAAGCAAGGCAAUUUCGUCAAGGCCUUAAGCCUUCAAUUCGCCAUGUGUUGGGUGCCUUUGAAGUCACAGACUUUCGCUCCAUGGUAGAGAAAGCCUUGGGAGUUGAGAUGCAGCUUCAGGUCACAGCUGAUCUAAAUAAGUCUUUGAGUGGUGACCAGUCUCGUGGUCAGGGUGACAAGAAGGUCCAUUCUGGUGGUCAUGUUCAUAGGAAGGGCAAGUUUCAGCGUCACCAGCCGUACCGUGGUGGUUCAGCUCAGCCUCGUACUCCAGGAGGGAGUACUCCUCAGUAUCAUGCCAUUCCCAAACCUGGCACGGGGAUGGUGUGCUUCAAAUGUGGAGAUGCGCAUCGUCUUCGAGAGUGCCGAUGGUCCGGCAAGUGCUCUAUUUGUGGUCAAGAUCACAAGGACGUGGUUUGUAGGAAGAAUCCUGAUGCCAAGCUUCGUUGGGAGCUAGUGUCUUCUUCAGCUCCCAAUGGUGCAUUCCAUAUGAUGGCGGCUGCAUCUUCUACUCCUCACCUACCUGCACCGCCACCGCAGCAGCACCUACUUGCACCGCCACCGCAGCAGUACCUACCUGCCCCUACACCUCAGUACUUGCUAGCGCCACCGGUGACUCCAUCAGCUGCCCCUACACUUCAGACUGGGGCUUACUGGAUGCCCCAUGCUACUCCUUCAGCACCCAUGGUUCCAUGGGCUCCCACUCCGACGGGUCCUACUUCGGGUGCCUCUUCUUCGUCUGGCGUUCCAGGGGCAUAUGUUAUGCCUGCCACUAACGCUAGAGAUCGUGGUGACGUGGUAACAGGUAUCAUCUCAGUUGAUUCUUAUGAUGCUCAUGCUCUUUUUGAUUCUGGAGCUAGUUUCUCUUUCAUCUCAGAGGCUUUUGUUGGUCGUUUGGGUCUUUUUGUUGAAAGGAUUGGGGAGGCUAUCGUUGUUAGUUCUGCUAGAGGGCUUGUUUCGAGUUCUAUAGUUUGUCCAGGCUGUGUUGUCACUCUUGCGGAUGAGGAUUUUAUUGCUAACUUAGUGGUGAUUCCGUUGGAGCCUUUUGAUGUGAUUCUUGGCAUGGACUGGCUCUCCCAGUAUAAGGCCGUUAUCUCUUGUUUCUGGAAAACAAUCACUUUGCAAGAACCAUCAGGACGAGAGAUGAUCUUUCAAGGGAGUGGUUUGAAGUACUCUAUCUCCUUGUUGUGUCAGUUAUUUCCUAAUCGAUGGACACAAAAAACUGGUAUUCUUUUUGUGAUGAGUGGUGAUCAGGAGGUUCCCUUGCGAGUGGAUGAUAUUCUAGUGGUUUGUCGCUAUCCAGAUGUUUUCCCAGAUGAGCUCCCAGGUUUGCCUCCUGAAAGAGAGGCUAUUUUCCACAUAAAGUUGGUUCCUGGAACGCAACCUAUAUAUAAGACACCAUACAAGAUGGCUCCUGUGGAGCAGGUGGAGUUAAAGAAGCAAUUGGAUGAACUUCUUGCUAAAGGGUUUAUCCGACCAAGCACGUCACCUUGGGCUGCCCCAGUCUUGUUCGUAGAAAAGAAGGAUGGCACUAAAAGACUUUGUGUUGAUUAUCGAGCACUUAAUCAAGUAACAAUCAAGAACAAGUACCCUUUGCCUCGUAUUGAUGCUCUCUUUGAUCAAUUGAGAGGUGCCAAGGUAUUUUCUAAGAUUGACUUGCAAUCUGGUUACCAUCAACUACGUAUCAAGGAAGAGGAUAUUGAGAAGACGGCUUUUAAUACCAGGUAUGGGCAUUAUGAGUAUGUGGUUAUGUCUUUUGGACUAACAAAUGCCCCUGCUGUUUUUAUGGAGGCCAUGAACAGGAUGUUGCAUGAGUACUUGGAUGUUUUUGUUGUGGUAUUCAUCGAUGAUAUCUUAGUUUACUCCAAGUCAGAGGAGGAGCAUAAGGUUCAUCUCAGUCUUGUCUUGGAUGCACUCCGGAAGAACAAGUUCUAUGCAAAGUUGAAGAAAUGUGCAUUUUGGCUUUCUGAAGUGAGCUUCCUUGGUCAUGUCAUUAAUCAACAUGGCAUUAAGGUGGAUACUAAAAACGUUGCCUCAGUGGUGGAAUGGCAAAGACCGACCAAUGUAACAGAAGUUCGGAGCUUUCUUGGGCUUGCAGGUUAUUAUCGGCGUUUCGUGCAGGGUUUCUCAAUUGUUGCUAAGCCAAUGACUAAUCUCACUAAGAAGGGUGUUCCAUUCAUAUGGACUAAAGAGUGUGAGGCCAGUUUCCAAACUCUAAAGAAUAAGUUAGUGAAUGCUCCUAUAUUGACAUUACCUGAGAGCGGCAAACGCUUCACUUUGUAUACAGAUGCUUCUCGAAUCGGGCUUGGUUGUGUGCUUAUGCAAGAAGGUAAAGUGAUUGCUUAUGCAUCAAGGCAAUUGAAGAAGCAUGAGCAAAAUUACCCCACACAUGAUUUAGAGUUGGCUGCAGUUAUUUUUGCUCUAAAGAUUUGGAGGCAUUAUCUUUAUGGAGAGUCAUGUGAUAUAUUUACAGAUCACCAAAGUCUCAAAUAUAUUUUCACACAAAAAGAACUCAACUUCAGGCAACGGAGAUGGUUAGAAUUGAUUAAGGACUAUGAUCUCACUAUCCAGUACCAUCCAGGAAAGGCAAAUGUGGUGGCAGAUGCUCUUAGUAGGACAGGUGUUCCUAAGACAGUGAUGUCCUUGAUUGUUGAUAUGGAUCGCAUGGGGGUUUCGUUUUGUUAUGCGGGCGUUGCACAUCAAGAGACUCAAAUGCUUAUUCAGUCUCCCAUAGUUGAUCAGGUGCGUGAGGCUCAACAACAUGAUCGUUUGCUUCAAGAGGUUCGAAAGAGAAUUUUAGGGGGUAGACCACGGGAGUUCACCAUAGAUGAACAUGGUGCUAUUCGCUUUAGAGGGCGUCUUUGUGUGCCACAAAAUUCUGAUGUGAAGAUGGAUAUACUUAGGGAGGCACAUCGAACACCUUACACAAUUCACCCUGGUGAGACCAAGAUGUAUCGGGAUUUAAAGAAAAAUUUUUGGUGGAAAAGGAUGAAAGUUGAUGUUGCCAAAUAUGUAGCAUCUUGUGGAAUUUGUCAGCAAGUUAAGGCAGAACAUAAAAAGCCUGCGGGUUUAUUACGGCCUUUGGAGAUCCCUGAGUGGAAAUGGGAACAUAUCACCAUGGACUUCGUGGUCGGGUUACCUCGCUCACCUCGAGGGAGAGAUGCCAUAUGGGUUAUUGUGGAUAGACUCACUAAGUCUGCACAUUUCAUUCCGAUGAAGUCAACUAGUUCAGCACCAGAUUUGGUUCCCUUAUACAUGAGAGAAGUGCUAAGGCUUCAUGGUGUGCCAAAGUCCAUUGUUUCUGAUCGAGAUCCCAAGUUUGUGUCUAACUUUUGGCGAAGCUUGCAUAGUGCAUUGGGCACAAAUUUGACUCUUAGCACUGCUUUCCACCCUCAGACUGAUGGUCAGUCGGAGAGGACUAUUCAGACCUUAGAGGACAUGCUUCGUGCUUGUGUUCUUUCAUGGAAAGGUAGUUGGGAGGAUCAUCUAUCUUUGGCAGAGUUCGCUUAUAAUAACAGCUAUCAAGCUAGUAUCAAGAUGGCUCCAUUUGAGGCUUUGUAUGGUAGGAAGUGUAUUUCUCCCAUAUGCUGGGAAACUUUGGGUGAGAGAUCUUUGAUUGGUCCAGAUUGGGUCCGAGAGACAUCUGAAAAGGUGCGGGAGAUACGACAGAAUCUGUUGGCUGCUCAGAGCCGGCAGAAGAGUUAUGCUGAUGUGAGGAGGCGAGAUCUAGAGUUUGCAGUGGGUGACCAUGUUCUUCUUAGGGUAUCGCCAACCAAAGGUGUUGUGAGGUUUGGCACCACAGGAAAGCUUAGCCCAAGGUACAUUGGUCCGUUUGUGAUCACAGCCCGUGUUGGCAGUUUGGCAUAUCGCUUGCAGCUUCCAGAAUCAUUGAAGCAAGUGCACAAUGUUUUCCAUGUAUCUAUGUUAAGAAAAUAUUUGAGGGAUCCUGAGCACAAGAUUGAUUUGGAGCCACUUAUUGUGGAGCCAAAUCUAAUUGUGGAAUGUCACCCAGAACGUAUCUUAGACUCAUCCGAGCGAGUCAUGAGAAAAAGGACCAUCAAAUAUGUCAAGGUUCUAUGGAGUAAUCAGUCGGAGCGUGAAGCGACUUGGGAGCUCGAGGACCAAAUGCGCAAGAAGUACCCACAACUCUUUGAGAGCGGUAAGUUUUAAUUUAUCAAGUUGGUAUACCUUUGAGUAGUUAAAUUCGGGGACGAAUUCUUUAAAGGAGGGGAGAAUGUAACACACUAAAAAAAAAAAUCAAAGGCCCAGCCAGCCCAACCUUUUCCCUGGCCCGUUGCCCCCUCCCAUCUUAUCCAGACCGGUCCUCUCUUCCUUCUCACGUUUCUUCCUCCUUCCCUGCUCUCCCAUGGCUUCCCCUCCCUAAAUCCCCUCUCUACAGCAGCAAACCCUUGGGGGGAACUAGCAAAACGGAUCGAGGACAACAAGAGGAGCAAGAAAGGUGCAUCUUCCAUGUAGAUCGGUCCUUUCCCCAUAUCUUCCCGCUGCCCUAGGGUUUGGGGAACGACCAAGGUGAGGUGAAUCCACUUUAGAUCUGCUAAUUGAUGUUUUUAGGAGGUUCUUGGUCCUGAGGAUUAGUGGAUUUGUUGGGGAAAACACGGUUUGAAGGUCGAUUUAAGGUGUGCUGUCCUGUAGCUCGGGCAGUGCUGCUGUCCUUGUAGUUUUGGUGACCUAAACGAUUUCUCCUCCAAAAGUGGAUCAUACAAAAGUUGUAGAGAAUUAUGAGAUGUAACUGCUGUCCAAGUUUCAUAUUUUUUUGGUGGAGUAUACCUUCAGUUAUUGAAUAUUGUUUGGACGCUGUUUCUGAAUGUCCAGAUUUUUGACAGCAGAUGUUCAAAGAUGUAUUAGAUGAUCUUAAGGAUGGAAUUCGUGGAAACCCAUAAUAACAAAGUUUUAGGUUUCUCAGAGAUAUAUGUCCUGACAAAAUUUUAGAAUUUUUGGACAAGGGGUUUGGGAGAUAUGAAUUUUUGUAUGCUGCUGCCUGAAAUUUCAGACAGAUUCUGUACUUCACAUUCAACUGCAGUUUUACCCCUCUUUGGAUUAUGCUAAAAAUAAAGGAUCUGAACAAAGUUGUAAGAUUUCUCCCUUAGUUUUCUAAGAUGUAUUUGCUUGCUGUCAUAUCUUUUGUAAUUUUAAAGAUACAAAAAAGUGAAGCAGCACUGCUGCGGUUAACCUAGGUGAUGUUUACCAUCGUCGCUUGUUUGACGGGUUGGGCUAUAUGGGUGCUUUACUUGCUGUGUGCACAUGGUUGUUUGAGGAUAUGUUCUGAUCUUAUUGUGUCAAAACAGGUGGUAACGCUCCGGAUCACGCUUAGAGCGGCUAUCUCCUUCAUUGGGAGGCAAGUAACGUAGCGGUGGUUGCUACAAGCUUUAAUUUGCUAUUUUUUCUACCUCCACUUUAAAUUUCAGAAUGAUAACUUAUCCAAUAUCAUCCAUACAAUUACAAGUUUAUGCACAUCUUACUGUUGUUAUUACAUAUGCCUUAUUCUUUACUUUAUGACUUGGUAAUGGCUCUUGUUAGCAUAAUUAUGAUGAGGAUUAUGUUGUCAAAUGAGGAGAGACUUAUCUGGUAUAUGCGGUGUAUACUCUCUUUGUGCGAUCUGUCUUGGCAUUGCAUUUCAUUGCAUCACAAUGCAUGGCAUAUGGAGUUAAUUCGCCGCUUGAUAGCCGCGACCGUACCGGUACAGCAUCGUUUAUUGGGCAUAACGGUGCAGCUUCAUACUUUGUUGAGUAUGAAGGCAGGAGACAUGGCAUUUGCAUUGCAUUUGCAUUUAGGGUGCUAUCGGUUUUCUAUGGUAUUUAUUUGGCAGUGGUGGUGAGAAGUGAAUUUUCUCCAAGGUUUGGUGACGAAUUGGUUUUAUUUAUGUACGAGGGUGUUGGAGUUAUUAUUAUUAUUAUUAUUCAUUGAGGAGAUACACUUACUGAUAAUAGUUAAACCAUGGUCUAAU
rnacentral:lncRNA from 1 species